GUCUGUUUCCUAUACGGGAUAGUGUUCUUUUUAAAUGUAAUCGACUGGAGAAAUGAACGAUUAAAGUGAUUCCUCCUAAACACUUUUGUAACAGAAUCUCACAAGAUGGCUAAGAUUUUUAUCUUACUCGUAUUGCUGCCGCACUUACUUUGUACCAUGGUACAUGGUACAACUUUGUGCCCGGAAUACCUUACAUACACGAUCGACCGCGAGACACGCAAGAUAUUCGGACGGAUCGAAAUUCUACCACUAGAAUCUCUACUAGAGGAUGAAGAAAUUUAUUUAAAGGUAGCCUUAAACACUACCGCUGAUGCGCUG